rnacentral:rRNA from 1 species
CAGCCGCCACGGUAAUACGUAGGGUGCAAGCGUUAAUCGGAAUUACUGGGCGUAAAGCGUGCGCAGGCGGUUAUAUAAGACAGUCGUGAAAUCCCCGGGCUCAACCUGGGAACUGCGAUUGUGACUGUAUGGCUAGAGUGUGUCAGAGGGGGGUAGAAUUCCACGUGUAGCAGUGAAAUGCGUAGAUAUGUGGAGGAAUACCGAUGGCGAAGGCAGCCCCCUGGGAUAACACUGACGCUCAUGCACGAAAGCGUGGGGAGCAAACAGGAUUAGAUACCCCAGUAGUCCCUGUCUCUUAUAC